GACAGAGGGGGCAAGCGUUGCUCGGAAUUACUGGGCGUAAAGGGCGCGUAGGCGGGAUGGCAAGCCGGUCGUGAAAUCCCUCGGCUCAACUGAGGAUCGUCGAUCGAUACUGCCGUUCUUGAGGAUUGCAGAGGAGACUGGAAUUCCCGGUGUAGCGGUGAAAUGUGUAGAGAUCGGGAGGAACACCGGUGGCGAAGGCGGGUCUCUGGGCAAUUCCUGACGCUGAGGCGCGAAAGCGUGGGGAGCAAACGGG
rnacentral:rRNA from 1 species